AGAAACUUGGGCUGACUAGCUGAGCAAACAGAAGAACACAUUUCCUGCCCACAGGAGAGAAUUUCCCUUAGAAAUUAUCUCUAGCCUUGGUCUGUAUAUCAGCAAUGGCCUGAAGCACUAAGGACCCGCUAGUGGCAUACCCAUUGGCACCAUGCUCCUCACACGUCAAUAACUGAGCUGGUCAUAAUCCAAGAACCAGCCAAAGCCCCACCUCACAGCCCAGGGUGCUGCUCUCCAAGAGAAGCUGCUUCAUGGCAAUCAGGGAUCUCUGAUUUCCCUGGGGAACGCUGGGGCUACUGUAAACAAUUCUGCAAUUUGCCUGUAAACUGCUGGAGUGGCAGCUUUCCUUGACACUGGACAUCGCACCCCAUGCUGCAGCAGAAAUGUGGGAAAGUGCACAGGCUCUUCCAACAUUCCAUUGCCUAGCCCACUGAGACAGGCUAGGCUGACUCCAGGACAGGCUUCAAAUUGGCAGUUCAGGAGAGUAGGCCUAAGUCUCUGUUUCUAAGAACCGCUUAAGUCCAGGCAAGUCCAGGCCCCACCACCUGGCCUGAGGCAAGGACAAUGAGUCAGUAGUAGUUUCCAGACUUCCUCAGAAACAAUUUCUAGCCACCCCACCACCCCCAGUCCCCCAGCAAUGGUUCCGGAAUGCCCCUAGAGAUAGAGCCAACAGAUUAAGAUAGAGGUUACCCCCCCCCUUUCUCAGAAUUCCCUCAGUGUGCUUUAAAUCUGGCCUGUGAGCUCACUGGGGCAUCUACAUCUAGGUAAUGGGAGACCCCAGCAUAUUAGACUUCUGCAGAAUAAAACACUCUCUGCUUUUACAU
rnacentral:lncRNA from 1 species